rnacentral:rRNA from 1 species
AUUGAACGCUGGCGGCAGGCCUAACACAUGCAAGUCGAACGAGUGGCGGACGGGUGAGUAAUGUCUGGGAAACUGCCUGAUGGAGGGGGAUAACUACUGGAAACGGUAGCUAAUACCGCAUACCAUCAGAUGUGCCCAGAUGGGAUUAGCUUGUUGGUGGGGUAACGGCUCACCAAGGCGACGAUCCCUAGCUGGUCUGAGAGGAUGACCCGCCAAAGUGGAACUGAGACACGGUCCAAACUCCUACGGGAGGCAGCAGUGGGGAAUAUUGCACAAUGGGCUCAAGCCUGAUGCAGCCAUGCCGCGUGUAUGAAGAAGGCCUUCGGGUUUUAAAGUACUUUCCGCCGGGAAGCGUUACCCGCCGAAGAAGCACCGGCUAACUCCGUGCCAGCAGCCGCGGUAAUAC